CCCUAGCCCCGAUUGUAGCAAUUGUUUGAGCUCAUUUUGAGGUUUCGGCGGGGCUCCGCCCCGCCGAAACCUCAAAAUAGCGAGUGCGGAAAGCGGGAAAAAGC
rnacentral:sRNA from 1 species